rnacentral:tRNA from 2 species
UGGGGAAUCGUCUAAUGGUAGGACAGCGGUCUCUGACACCGUCAAUCGUGGUUCGAAUCCACGUUCCCCAGCCA